rnacentral:tRNA from 1 species
CGGGGUAUAGCGCAGUUUGGUAGCGCGCUUGCUUUGGGAGCAAGAUGUCGGGGGUUCAAAUCCCUCUACCCCGACCA